ACUGAGAAAGUAAAGGUGCAGAUCUUGGUGGUAGUAGCAAAUAUUCAAAAGAGAGCUUUGAAGGCCGAAGUGGAACAGGGUUCCAUGUGAACAGCAGUUGAACAUGGGUCAGUCGGUCCUAAGCAACAGGCGAGCGCCUUGAAUAUACCAUCUAUUGAAAAUACGUGUUCAUUACAGUGGGAACUGGAAAUCUUUACUACGAACAUUCCCAUUUUCACAUUUACAUUAACGUAGCCCUUGAAAAGAAUGGAAAGCCUCUCUUCUUUUCCUUUCCUUCUUAAAUUCUCUAUGUAUCUCCACAGCCC
rnacentral:ncRNA from 1 species